rnacentral:rRNA from 1 species
UUUUUAAUUGGAAUCUUGUAUGAAUGAUUGGACAAGAGAAGCACUGUCUUUGUAUUGAAACUUGAAUUUAACUUUUAAGUGAAAAGGCUUAAAUAUACUAAAGGGACGAUAAGACCCUAUAAAACUUUACAUUUAUGUUAAAUUUUAUGGAAUUUGAAAUUAUAAUUAUUAAGUUUAAUUUUUUGUUAUGUUGGGGAGACAAAAGCUAUAAUUAUGUAUAACUGCUUUUAAAGGAAACAAAAAUAAAUGGGAAAAUUAAAGAUCCUUUAUUGAGAUUGUAAGAUUAAGUUACUUUAGGGAUAACAGCGUUAUUUUUUUUGAGAGUUCAUAUUGAAAAAAAAGAUUGCGACCUCGAUGUUGAAUUAAAAUAUCUUUAUAAUGCAGGUGUUAUAAAAGAAGGUCUGUUCGACCUUUAAUUUU